AGGAUAGUAGUUUAUAAAAACAUUUAAAUUGCAAUUAAAAAAUAUUUUCUUGAUCUAUCUUU
rnacentral:tRNA from 1 species